rnacentral:rRNA from 1 species
UACGAAGGGGGCUAGCGUUGCUCGGAAUCACUGGGCGUAAAGGGUGCGUAGGCGGGUCUUUAAGUCGGGGGUGAAAUCCUGGAGCUCAACUCCAGAACUGCCUUCGAUACUGGAAGACUCGAGUCCGGGAGAGGUGAGUGGAACUGCGAGUGUAGAGGUGAAAUUCGUAGAUAUUCGCAAGAACACCAGUGGCGAAGGCGGCUCACUGGCCCGGUACUGACGCUGAGGUGCGAAAGCUAGGGGAGCAAACAGG